CGCACGAAGGUCUUGCGGCCUCCCGCGGAAGGAGCGGAGGGUGCUUGAGGGGCGGGCCCAGUGACCGGCGCUGGGAGUAAGGGUCAGCGGCGCAGAGGAGGUUUUAUUAUUUUAAGUAAUCUUCGUAGCCGACGUGGGGCUCAAGCUCACGAUCCUGAGAUCAAGAGUCACUCCACCAACUGAGCCAGCCAGGUGCCCUUAGUUCCAGUUCUUAAUGACCAUGAAACAAAGGGGCUUAGAAGUUGGCACUCAAAAACGGCUGGCUCCAGAAGACCUGAAGCUCCCACAAGGUCAGGAAGGUAUGGAAUAUUUGAAGAGAGCCUCACUUGUCCACCCACAUACCUGCUGGUGACGAUAGAUGCCAUACACUGCAGGAGGGACUGGCACAUUGACGCUGUCAAAGACCAGUUUACUUCCAGAUUUGCUGCUGUAGAGAUGAGCCAGUUCAGGCUCUGGACCCAGGAUGGGGAUGCCUAACAUAUCCGCCACGGCCAAAUCAUCUCUGUGGAGGAACCCGCCGACAAUGUAGGCCUCUUUUCCUUGGAUGAGAUUUUUUAUUCUUUUGAUCGCCUUGGGACUGUACAUCAGCUUAAAGCAUCGUAUAGUAACUUGGAGAGAUGUACAAACAGAUUUUUGGCACGCUUUUAAAAAAUCUCCUCAAAGCCAUCCAUUUGGAUGAAAAUCAGCACUGAUCCAAUCUCUCAAACCCAUUAAAAGGAAAUAAAGCCAUAACUAAACAUGAGCAAGAACUGAUUUGAAAAUGCAAACCCACAAAGAUGCAAACCCACACUACGAAUGUGACUCAGCACAUCGGUUAGUGCCAACUGCCUAUCUCUUGCUUAGAAGCUGAAGAGUGGUCUGCAGUGCAUAUGUCUCAGGUAACAACAGGAUUGCAGAGCUGGGAAGGGCUUUGAAAUGCCCUAGCCAUCACCUGAUUGUAUGGACGAAGCUCAGAGGACCAGAAAGGUAAAGGGAGCUGCCCAAGCCACAGGGUCAUCCAGUAACAAAGCAAUCAUUCCAGUUCCUGAUACUGUUCUGGGGUCAGACACAUUUUGGCUCACACUUUGAGCCCACCAGUAACUUUUGACAAGAACAGGAGACUUGGUUUCCUCAGCCAUAGAAAGAGAUUGGUCAUUUCUGUCAUGUUGCAGUGUUCUGAGGACCAAAUGAGAAAAUGUGUGCUAAGCAUUUGAUAAAUAUUAGUUGUGCACUCACUUUCCUUCUCCCAAACUAGUGCUCCUUUCCUAGUCCAUGCCCCUUCGAUGUACAUGGACAUUUCAGAUGUACAGGAACUCCUUAUCAGCAGCUACCAGGCAUUAGCUCCAGUUUCUGGCUGGAUAAAAUCAGGAAAUGAACUACACACUGAUGGUUUUGUCUUCCCUGCUUUCUAAUGUCCACAGUGACCCUGCUAUCGAGGCCAGGGGUUAGCUAGGAAGCACCAAACAAUCCUUGCACUGAUGGAGGAUAUUGGGUUCCUAAUAGCAUAGGAUCUUCUUCACUCGGGUCUUAUGGCAAUGUAAGAGCCACGCGAUGGCAAUCACACCUGAAGCCCACUUCUGCUGGCGAUAAAUGAAGAAAAUUUGUCUCGCUUUGAAGCAUUUCCAUGUGGCUUGGAUCUUGAUGGCAGCCUCUGAUUUUCCAUCUUGGCCCUUGUACCUUUGGCCCGGAAGAUUUAACAUCAUUUGGAUGUGAACUGGGUUCUCUACCAGUGAGAGAAAGUCAUAUCUGAGACUCAUGUGGAAUUGGGACCAUCGAUGAAAAUGGAGCAACCUUGGGAGAAGAUUCUGAAAGAAGAGGACUCCAGUCUCUCUCAGGCAGUGCCUUCAAAUGGUGUAGGUGUGGGGCAUGUAUGUAUGUCAGGAAAUGAGUUUCAGACUUUUUGAAAGAAUAGCCCUGGUUUGGGAAUGGGGUUACAGAAUUGAACAGUGGCUGUUUGAGAACAAAGGGAUUAUACCUCCCUACCUUCUUGGAUGAUAUUCCAGUAAAGACCUGUUCUCCAAGGAAACACACUCUUGGACAUCAAAUAGACCACUCAGGCACGGGGAAGCUAUGGGUUUGGAGUCAGCUAAAGCAUAACUGUAGUACAUCUGUCACAGAGAAUGCCACACUUGGGAGCACUUCACACUUAGAGCUGGAAAAGACAUGUCUCUCAAGAGGAAGGCUUCCCAAAUUAAAGCAGUGCAUCAGCAUUGUGGGAUCCAUUGAGCAGGUAAAGACAAAGCUGCUUCACAGCCUGCUAGGAAUAAGAGCCCUGAUUAAAGGUCAGGCCAGCCUUCAGAUUCCCGUUUCUUCUGCUAUUUUUCCUUUACUAUUUAUCUCCAUGAACUUGUCUGCAAUUAUCUGUCACCGACCUUCUUUCUCUCCGCCUACCUUCCUUCUUUCUAUUCCUUCCUUCUUUUCUUUCCUUCCUCCCACUCUCCCUCCCUUUCUCCCUCCCUUUCUCCCUUUCUCCCUUUCUCCUUUUUUUUUUUUUUGUUCUUUUUGUUUUUAAGAUAUGCUGUACUCCCAACAUGAUGUUGCUGAAUAUCAGUGUUGUUUUCCUUCUAGUGGAGAUGGCUCUCUGUUAUGCCAUCCACAUGCUCUCCUGGUCCUUCCUAAGCUCCUGGCCACACCUUCACCAGGGCCCAAACCUGUGGCAUUGUUUAGCAUCCUGCUCUAACUAACUAAAUCGACUAGCUGGGAAAUGCUCUUCAUCAUCUGCAAAGUGUUACUACUAAUGAGGUAAUUUUGAGAGUUUCUGGAGCAGUAAUUUAGGCAGAACUCUGAAUUUAAAACAAACGAACAAACAAAGCCCAGGAAGGCAAGAUGAUGAUUACAUAUGCAGGUAAGCUAUAAGUGGGAAGCAAAAAAGAUAGGCCCAGUAUUACCUCCUAAAUUUUAGAAAUAACUGGCACAAUGAGAAACUCUAGGAAAAAAAGGCAUGUACUUCUAAGAUGAAUGUCUUUAUGAAAAAUGUUCUUUUCACACAUGUGGACAGCAUGUGGAUGCAGGAUUAAACCAUAUCUGAGGAUCCCUAAGUUAGAUAUAACCAAGAUCUCCUGGUGGUAAAUGGUCAAGUAUAUGGGAUAAUCCAACAUGGAUAUCAUCUUUAGGGAAGGAUUUGCCUAGAAGGACAGACUAAAAUUGCUUUUGAAUCCAUAAACUGAUGUUCAGUUUCUCCAAAACUCAAACAUAUCCAUGAUUAAUUAGCUUUGGCAGCGCUGUUGUGUGAAAAAGAAUAAAUUCUUCCUGCCAUUAGGGCUCUAUUUGAGUGCUUACAUUCAGAGUAUGAGUGAAGUGACUCUCAGAGAUGGAACUUUCAUUCUUUCCUGAAAACCAGGGAGGCCAAUGGUCUGGCCUAUUCUUUAAUAAUUGUUAACAGUCUGAAAUGUGUUAAGCUUUGUAUAAAACAGAUAUCAGUACCUCAGACUGUCAGCACUAUUUGAAAGAUAUAAAUAAUAUUCAGAGAGAGUAGCUGACCUAAUCAGGAUUUAGGGAUUCAGCAUAAUUACAGUCCUGAAUUUUAGAGCAUGAAGGCCUUGCUUUUUUUUGUUUGUUUGUUUGUUUGUUUGUUUGUUUGUUUGUUUUACUCAAUAGGCUAUUAUGGGCUCGGAGAAACGAGCCUUGGCCCUACAGUCUGACUCACCUAGGUUCGAGUCCAAGCUCUGCCGCUGUCUGCUACACAUUCCUGGGCAAGUUACCAUCUGCUAUGGAUUGAAUGUUUGUCUCCAUAACAUUUGUAUGUUGAAGCCCAGUUCUUGGUGUGAUGGUGUUUGGAGGUGGGGCCUCUAAGAAAUAAUUAGGUCAUGAAGGUGGAGGCUUCAUGAUGAGAUUAAUGCCCUUAUAAGAAGAGAGACAAGACAGAUGAUUUCUCUGUCAUGUGAAAAUAUAGGAAGAAGGUGGCUGUUUGCAGAGCAGGAAGAGGGCCCUCAACACAACCUAACCACACUGGCACCCUAAUCUUGCACUUCCAGCCUCCAGAACUUGGAGAAAUAAAUGUUUGUUGUGUAAGCCUCCCACCUUAUGUCAUUUUGUUACGGUGGUCCAAGCUACGACAACAUCCUCUCUGAAUUUAAAUGUUUCUCGUCUCUAAAAAUGAUAGAUCCCUGCAGAGUUGCUGUGAAGAUCAUAAUAUGUGUAAAGAGCCUUUCACAGUGUCUUACCUCCAGUCAUGUUUAGGUUAUUAGUGUGGAUGAGGAAACAGGCUCAGAGAGGUUAGGUGAUUUGCCCAAGAUCACAUAACUAGUCACCUUUCCCUUCCCCCAUACCAUCCAUGCCCAAAGCCCUAACUGUCCAGAACGUCCUGUAAGACCCCUUACCAAGCUGUGCUCUCCUUGUUCAACCUUCCUUUUACUACCUCCUUCAUCAGAGCUGACCUGGUCUGGACCUGCUAUUUCUUUCUUAUUUGGAAAGUGGCCUGUUCAACUAACCCCUAUGAAUAUGCUAAUGAACUAUGGCAUGGAAGAAAAGUGCGGGAUUUGAAGUGAGAAGACAUAGGAUCUAGGCUGUUACCACGUUACUACACAGCCUUGGGAAGUCACCUCUCCUGUGGGCUGUUUCCAUUAGGGGAUCAUUCAAGGUGCUUCUGAUUUUGAUACCCUAAGUGUCUCUGACUUAAAGUGAUUUUGACACCCUAGGUCUCUCUGACCUAUUAAUUGGUAUGUGUUGUUUAAUAAACUCCUGGAGUUAGCAGAGCCAGCAAAUUGAAGAUAUAUCUUCAAUUGAGUCAUUUCAUGUACUAUAAGAAAGACCGAGGGAUUUUUUCGCCUCUAUUUUUUAAAUAGGAAGCUCUUUCUAGAAAUUUACAAACCAGUAGAGGAAGAGCUGUUUACACCAACUAUACGUAGAGGUGGUCACGGGGAGAGAACCCCAAAGAGUGAUAUUCCAGUAUUUCAGGGUCUGCAAAUCCCCCAAAACAGUUCUCAGUUCGUAAGACCUAGAAACUGCAUUUAAGCUAUAACUGUCAAUUAAAAAUGAGAGUCAGAGUCCCUAAGCUUUAUAAAGAGGAUAAAAGGCAAAAACAGAGAAUUCACUGAGCAGAGACAUACAAAGGGAGAGAAUUGUGUGUAAAGGCUGCUCGGAUGAGUGGCAAUUUUCUAGGGCUAAUUUCUGCAAUCGCUUUGAAAGAUAUAUUUAUUCAAACGAGACUUCCUGAACUCUGAAACACUUUCUGAGGAGAAAAAAAUGUUCCUGUGGAACAAAAACACUCAAUGGAUCAAAUUCUGGUUGAAGAUCAAACAGAACAAAAUCAGGAAGACUUUUUUAAAAUAGACGGUGUAUAUGUCAAAUGUGAACUUUCCUUUUCUAGAGACCCAUCUCAUUUUACUGCUGCAUUGAUUUCAUUUUUUCUGCUACCUUUCUAAUAUUUUCUGAGAGCAUGUGACAUAGAUAAGGACCACUGAGGACAAUUAUGACUGAUGUUUGGAACCUGCCAGGGAUAUGUACAGGGAACCUGGCAGAAGGGGAAUGGAAAGAAGCCUGUGUUCCUAUAUUCCUGAGAAAAGAACCAUCAUCAUCUUCUCUAUGGGUAAAGGAAUAAGAGUGAGCCUCCCAAAGGACCUGUGUUAUCACCAAAGUAAAGCUUGACAUUAUAGUUUUCUUGGGAAAAAUGUGUACAUAGCAAGUCUGGUGAUCCCAGAUGGCUAAAAGAUACUUGCAAAAUUCUUAUAACACCCCACCUUUUCACAUUUGCUAAACCUACAUAUGUAUUCCACUUUAUUUUCAUUCAUAGCACUCAUCACUGCCUGACCUUAUAUUAAAUAUCUGCCUUCCUCACCAGAAUAUAAGUCCCAAGAGGGCAAAGACUUGGUUUGUUUUGUUCACUGCUGUAUCCCCAGUGCCUAGUACACUUCCUGGCACAUGGUAAAAGGUGAACAAAGAUUAGUGGAAGGAAGGAAGGAAGGAAGGAAGGAAGGAAGGAAGGAAGGAAGGAAGGAAGGAAAGAAGGAAAGAAGGAAGGAAAGAAGGAAGGAAGGAAGGAAGGAAUAGUACAAUUUAAAUUCAUAGCCACUUGGGCUGGAUUUACAGCACAAAACUGUUCUGUGAUCACACAAGUUAUUUGCAAACUCACAGCUUGAGUUUUGAAACACCAGCAGACCACUUGGAUCUGAAAAUGUCCAUACCCUUGACCAAGAAAUGGUCAAGUAGCUUAUGGGUUGCCUGGGUGGCUUAGCUGGUUAAGUGUUCAACUCUUGAUUUUGGCUCAGGUCAUGAUGUCAGGGCCAUGAGAUUGAGCCCCAUGUUGGGCUCUAUGCUAUGCGUGGAGUCUGCUUAAGAUUCUGUCUCUCCCUCUCCCUCUACCCUUCCCACUCACGUGCUCUCGCUUCCUCUUUCUCUAAAAAAAAGUAGCUUAAAUAGUACAAAGAUUUAUGUACAAAUAUGAAAAAUGUUCAUGGCAGUUUGA